GAGAACCAGAAAUGGUUUUUUUCAGUUCGGCUGGACCGGUGACAGGUGUUGCAUGGCUGUCGUCAGCUCGUGUCGUGAGAUGUUGGGUUAAGUCCCGCAACGAGCGCAACCCUCGCCUCUAGUUGCCAUCAUUAAGUUGGGCACUUUAGAGGGACUGCCAGUGAUAAGCUGGAGGAAGGUGGGGAUGACGUCAAGUCCUCAUGGCCCUUAUGGGUUGGGCUACACACGUGCUACAAUGGCGGUUACAAUGGGAAGCAAAGGGGUGACCUGGAGCAAACCCUCAAAAGCCGCCUCAGUUCAGAUUGCACUCUGAAACUCGAGUGCAUGAAGUUGGAAUCGCUAGU
rnacentral:rRNA from 1 species